rnacentral:lncRNA from 1 species
AUGUCGACUCCUUGAUUGAUGAAGUUUGAAAUGUCUCCAAGACAGCGGGGAAGGAAGACUCCAGCGAAAUUACAGGGAAUUCGUGGUCACGGGACCGGCCUCCGCCAAUCGCUCGUCUGGGCCUGGUGGAAAACAGAGAGCAUUAUUUGGUUUAAUUGAUUCAAAAACACCAGAGGACCACGACCAGGACACCAUGAGCCCCCAUUCCUACACCAGUGCCUCACAUGCUCUCUCCCCAAUGCCUCCGUUUCUCCAGAAAAGCUAGAGGAACCUUUUCCUCAUCCCCUUCGAAGGAAAAGAUGAGUGAGGAUCUCCGCGUUGGAGGAAGAGGGAGUCGAAAGAGGCUUCCACUCUUUGAAAAAGACCCAAUGGUGGUUGGGCUUCGGGUCACGUGACACCUUCUUUGUGGCUCCGGAAGAGGAUUGUGAAGUUUAGGUUUCGUGGAAGAAACCGAUAAUUGAGGAAAAAAAAAAAUCAAGAUUUGGGGGGAAUUACCUACAAAGAUGUAAGGUGUGUUAAUUUGGGCGCUUCUUGGAUUCUACCCUGAGGAGGAGGCGCGUGGUGAGAGGAGAGCUCCACCAGCUGCGCGCUCGUGUACGCCGUCCGCGCCCGCUUGGACGCCGCCGACCCCGGGGGGCUCUUGUCCCCUCCCCCGCCGCCGCCGCCACCGCCCCCGCUGCCACCACUGCCUCCGCCGCCGCCGCCACCGCCGCCGCCACCACAGCCCUCUGCUGGAUCCGAGGGGGAGGGGUGGGAAGGGGAGAAAAUGAAAUAAAAGAUAAUUACUGAA